AAAAACACAGGUCCGUGCGAAGUUGCAAAACGAUGUAUACGGACUGACGCCUGCCCGGUGCUGGAAGGUUAAGAGGAGUGCUUAGCGGAAACGCGAAGGUAUGAAUUGAAGCCCCAGUAAACGGCGGCCGUAACUAUAACGGUCCUAAGGUAGCGAAAUUCCUUGUCGGGUAAGUUCCGACCUGCACGAAUGGCGUAACGAUGGCCACACUGUCUCCUCCCGAGACUCAGCGAAGUUGAAAUGUUUGUGAUGAUGCAAUCUACCCGCGGCUAGACGGAAAGACCCCAUGAACCUUUACUGUAGCUUUGUAUUGGACUUUGAACGGAUCUGUGUAGGAUAGGUGGGAGGCUUUGAAGCGGGGACGCCAGUUCUCGUGGAGCCAUCCUUGAAAUACCACCCUGGUUUGUUUGAGGUUCUAACCUUGGUCCGUUAUCCGGAUCGGGGACAGUGCAUGGUAGGCAGUUUGACUGGGGCGGUCUCCUCCCAAAGAGUAACGGAGGAGCACGAAGGUACGCUCAGCGCGGUCGGACAUCGCGCACUGUGUGCAAAGGCAUAAGCGUGCUUGACUGCAAGAUCGACGGAUCAAGCAGGUACGAAAGUAGGUCAUAGUGAUCCGGUGGUUCUGAAUGGAAGGGCCAUCGCUCAACGGAUAAAAGGUACUCCGGGGAUAACAGGCUGAUACCGCCCAAGAGU
rnacentral:rRNA from 1 species